UGAGCAAUCUGCCCUUCUCAUCGGAAUAAAGCGUUGGAAACAACGUCUAAUGCCGAAUACGACCUCCUUUCGCAUGAUCGGAGGUGGAAAGCUCCGGCGGAGAAGGAUGAGCUCGCGGCCUAUCAGCUUGUUGGUGAGGUAAUAGCUCACCAAGGCGAUGACGGGUAGCCGGCCUGAGAGGGUGACCCGGCCACACUGGGACUGAAACNCGGGCCAGACUCCUAGGAG
rnacentral:rRNA from 1 species